CUGCUCUGUGAUUCUUUCUUGGGAUUAAACUCCUUUUCUUUUCUUCUUUUACCUCAUAAAUUAUGAACAUGAAAACAGCAAAAAGUUGAGUCAGAAUCUUCAUUCAUUUACUCAAUAAACAUACACUAAAUAUCUACUCUGAAUCGUACAUGGUUGUAGGCACCAGGGAUACCUGGCGGGGAUCUUGGAGCACUUCUGGUCCAGUGGAGCUUACAUUAGGAUCACCCCAGCGGCUCUUAAAAUUCUUGAUCCUAAGUCUGCACCCUGCAGAAAUCCUGAUGAAACUGGUUUGGAGUGGGGCUUGGUACCCAUAGUCUAGAAAAGCUCUCCAGGUAAUGCGAAUGGUAGCUGGGCUUGGAACCACUGAAAUCUAGACUGGCCAGUGAAACGAUUUGCUUCAGGUCACCGGAAAACCUGAAUCUGCAUGGGUCUGACUUCCGCUCUGGGGUUUGCGUGACAAAAUCAGAGAGUUUUUCAUGGAUUUGGCAUCUGUCUGAAUUGACUGCUAAAUUCUUAGAGAACAAGUCUGUUUUUCCUUAAUCCAAACAGAAUCCAAUUCACUUCAGGUAAAGUGCCAAAAGGACCUCUGGCUUGGGAUUCAUUUUAAAUCACUGCUUUCUCAAACUGUCCGUUUUGUUUCUGGAACUGAAUUACUCAGCCAAGUGAGUGAAAGUCUAUAAAAAUAGUUCCUCUUCACUGAGCCCCGAGUGUAGGUCAGGUGCUUUACCUGCAGAGUUUCAGUUAAUUCCCAGGUCAAUCUCACAGGGUAGGUAUUGCUGACAUCAGUUUACAAGUGGGCAAACUGAGAUUCAGAGCCAUCGAGGAUUGUAAUUUGUUCAAGGUGGCACAGCUGAAAUGAUAACUUCAGAGUUCAUGUUCUUUCCCCUACACCGCUCUGCAGCUACCCCACAGCCGAGAGCGUGGGGCAGCUGGCAGAUGGCAGCAUUCUACUCUGGCUUCACAUAGGAAAGAAAGCUUUGUGCUGGUGAAGCUCCAGACAUGAUCCGGACAAUUGUUACCUGAGCUCAGUGACAGUACUAGGGGCCUGGAGGAAAGGGGGACUUGGGGAUAAGACAGAUGCGCAGAUUUGGAGUUGAGUUCUUUUUGUUGAUGGUUAUGCCUGGAUUCCUUUUACUGAGGGAUUUGGAAGAAGCAGCUAAGAGCAAUGUGGCGCCUGAAGCAGUUAGUUCUAAGACACCUAGCAAUGAUGAUGCAUGCUUGGUAUAAGCAUUAUCUAUUCUUGGCCUGGAUUCCCGUGGGCUGGCAGAGUGGCUGUGUUGCCAUGUAUCUUUGCAAUCUGAUCUCUGCCUGAUACUUCCCGGGCAGCCUGGUGUGGCCUCCAGGGGCUCGGAAGGGCCAGGACUCAUUGUGUCCAUUCCAAAGAACUCUAACAGAGAGAUCUCACCCCUGCCAUUCUCUGGGGGCCACCUUAUACAGUAGUAGGAGAUCCAGGCCUUGACAAGCAGCAAGGGCUGGUCUUAGAAUGGAUCAGGGCUUGUCUGCGUCUCAUUCAGCAGGUCCACGUGGGAGCAAAGCCACGACUGCUGGUAGAAAGAGUGCAGAGUAGGCCGGGCGCGGUGGCUCAUGCCUGUAAUCUCAGCACUUUGGGAGGCCGAGGCGGGUGGAUCAUGAGGUCAGGAGAUCGAGACCAUCCUGGCUAACACAGUGAAACCCUGUCUGUACUAAAAAUACAAAAAAUUAGCCGGGCAUGGUGGCGGGCGCCUGUAGUCCCAGGUACUCGGGAGGCUGAGGCAGGAGAAUGGCGUGAACCUGGGAGGCAGAGCUUGCAGUGAGCCGAGAUGGUGCCACUGCACUCCAGCCUGGGCGACCGAGCAAGACUCUGUCUCAAAAAAAAAAAAAAAAAAAAAAAGAGUGCAGUAGAGCACAGCUUGAAAGACCCUUCAAGAUUUUCUUGUCUAACUCUCAUUUCACAGAUAAAAUACUGAGGCUCAGAGAAGUGACAGGAUUUAGGAUUACACAGCCAGCUGGUGGUGGGAUUACACUUGAACUCAGGGCUCUCCUGAUUCCUGGCCCAGUCUGCCUUCCCUGAUGUGUCCACUAGCAGGGAAGAAGCUGGUAGUAGGUGAGCCCUUGAAAGCACUGCAGUGGCAAAAGGGAGAGAGAAGGUCUUCCCAUAUUUGUUUCAGGGUGUGGCCAAGCUGUGUGUGUCAAUGGGUGGCUGUGGAUGGGGUGUGUAUUUAGAAAAGCUGUCUUCAACUUGAAGGACUGGGUGAUGGCCACUCUCUUUUCCAGGCAAAUCACACUCAUCCAGACUUGUAUCCCUCCCAUUGUUAGAAAACAUGGUAUUUCCCCCAACGUUUUUCUCCAUGCACUGUGGCAGGUGUUUGGAUAGUCGGGGAGCGAUCGGCGAUUGAGUCAGGCAGGAAUGGUCAGGCUGUGGUAGUUGCUCUCAAGCUGUGGUCAAGGCUCUGGGUGUCCCCGAAAGAAUCAAAGUCUGAUCUCAGCCUCCCUGUUCAAUGGAUAGGACCCAGACUUGGAGACAGGGAGAAACAGAGGGAGUUCUGAGAUGCUGGUACAUCCUGAAGACUAGAUCAAAACCAUUUACAAGAUGCAAGUCUAUAGAUCCAUGAGGUGGGCUGGGUUUAUUUCUUGAGGCUUGGUUCUCAAGGGAGACUUCACUUUAAUUCGACAAGUUUCUGAGUGCCUAUACUAUAUGCAUGGUGUAGCAUAAUUUGCUGCAGGAGAUGCAGAUAUGUAAGACAGUGCUAUGGCCCCCUGAGGUUGCGUUGAAGAUGACACAUCCCAAUAACUUUUUGAACCCUUACCAUGGGCCAGGGGCUCUGCAUUUAUGUAAUCCUUACCAUAAUCCUGCAAAUGGGGAUUCUAUUUUCCAUUUUUUAGAUGAAGAAAUGGCCUGAGAGAAGCUAAACAACUGUUCCUCUGUCAUGGCCAGUGAGUGGCUGAGCACGUUCAGAAGCUGUGCCCUUUCUGCGGUACCAGGAGGCUACCAGCUAACCACAAGACCUGGCAGACUCAGGCCAGUUCUCCAAACCAGGCUUCAACAAGGUGUUUGAGGAGCACAGAGGUUAUAAAAUAGCCUAGUCAAUAGAAAGACAACCAUAAAUGUCCGUCCUUAUGGAGUCAGAUAAUCCUUGAAGAACCGCUAAAUCAUUUGGAGGACUUGGAUUGCUGGUUCCCACCCCCAGGGUUAUUGCUACAUGGAUGAAGAAGAGAUCCAAGAAACUUUAAUGGAAUGAUGUGGGGUAAAUAACAGCAAAGUCUUUCUCCUU